rnacentral:rRNA from 1 species
UACGAAGGGGGCGAGCGUUGUUCGGAUUUACUGGCGUAAAGGGCGCGCAGGCGGCUAGUCCAAGUCAGGCGUGAAAGCCCCGGGCUUAACCUGGGAGGUGCGUCUGGGACUGGUGGCUAGAGAUCGGGAGAGGAGAGUGGAAUUCCCAGUGUAGAGGUGAAAUUCGUAGAUAUUGGGAAGAACACCGGUGGCGAAGGCGGCUCUCUGGACCGAUACGUGACGCUGAGGCGCGAAAGCGUGGGGAGCAAAGCAGGG